UUAAGGUCGCAGUUAGACUUUCAUUUCGACAACACACAUCAAGCAAAUUCAUGCCAAAAUCGAUUGUUACAACACCUUCUCUUAAUGUUUUGCCUUUCUGACCAGGGGGAAAUAUAGCACUUCCUUCAUGACACACACACACACACACACACACACACACACACACACACACACACCACUGUCACCUAAAAGCACAUUUCUGCUUUCACUGCUCUUUGCGCUCAUUUACAUUAAAGCCAGCUGCAAAAAAGUAUAUUUCCAAGCGCUUGGUGUUUUUGUUUUUAUGUAGGCGGCUGUUGGCACUGCAAGUGUGGCCAACAUGAAAUUCUUAAAGGGGACCCUAAUUGGAGUGAGACUUCAGCAUAGAGAUGCUCCUGUCGGAUAUUCACACAAUCGGCCACCUGCACACGACACAAAUUAUGUGGCCGUUCAAGACGACUUGUCAACGACUGUUCGGGACAUUUGUGAAAACAGGAGGACACCAAUGCAGCCAAACCGGCUCCCGUUCAUCACAGAGGGAAGUGAACACGCUGCGGGUCCCUGUAGGUGCUAACCAAACAUGAGUCUUUUCCUGAGCAGCACCUGGAGACUCAACAGACCCGGCGUUUGUGACACGCUGUUGCCCAUGGCUGCCUUCCAGCACUGCUUCUUCAGGGAUCCCAGCAUGUAGAACAACCGUCUCACAAUUUUCAGCCACGCGCCGCUUGAAACUUUAAUGCCGACACGAGGAGCGAGGCGUCCAGAAGCGAACAGGGAAUACGGACAGUAAUCCCAGCUCCUGUGAGUGUUGUACGGGACGCAUUGGAGGACGUGUAUGCAUUAGUAGUGCAACACAGGGAGUGAUGACUGCUUGACUUAAUUUCUCAUACUUUUUUGUGUUGUUUUGCCAGAUGACAAGUUUCAUACCAUCUGCUUGCUUUCCCCUGUUAAUAAGUUCUCCAGGCCAGCUGAGAGCCCUCUCAAUUAUUUAGUACUGCGGGGAAGCUGUCGGAUCCACGUCCAUGCUUCUGUGUCCAUCUCUGUGAGAAAAGGGGAAAACUCGAAGAGCAGGUGCCUCACACUAGUGGACAGAAAACACAAUAAUUAAAGCAUAUAAAUCAACAAUAUUCUUUGUUUAUAAAUUAUAACCUGUCAAUGUGAUCUUUAAAAUUUAGAAGUAUUCAGCUCUGAAAAUGUAAACACUUUAACACUAUUCUCUGGAAAUGCCAUAAAUUGGUGUGUUUUGGGUUAA